CCCUUAGAUGUUCUGGGCCGCACGCGUGCUACACUGAGUGGAUCAGCGGGUCAGGUUGCGCGAAAGUGUUUCCUAAUCUUUAAAUCCGCUCGUGAUGGGGAUUGACGGUUGCAAUUUUCCGUCAUGAACGAGGAAUACCUUGUAAGCGCGGGUCAUCAUCCCGCGCUGAAUACGUCCCUGUCCUUUGUACACACCGCCCGUCGCUCCUACCGAUUGAGUGGUCCGGUGAGGCUUUGGGAUCUGGGCGGAAAGAGCGUUUCGCUGUUUCUGCCCGGAAAACUCAGUCGAACCUUAUCAUUUAGAGGAAGGAGAAGUCGUAACA
rnacentral:rRNA from 1 species